AAUAUUGGGCAAUGGGGGAAACCCUGACCCAGCAACGCCGCGUGAGGGAAGAAGGUCUUCGGAUCGUAAACCUCUGUCCUUGGGGACGAAAAAAAUGACGGUACCUGAGGAGGAAGCCCCGGCUAACUAAGUGCCAGCAGCCGCGGUAAUAUGUAGGGGGCAAGCGUUGUCCGGAAUGAUUGGGCGUAAAGGGCGCGUAGGCGGCCUGUUAAGGCUGGAGUGAAAGUCCUACUUUCAAGGUGGGAAUUGCUUUGGAAACUGGCGGGCUGGAGUGCAGGAGAGGUUAGCGGAAUUUCCUGUGUAGCGGUGAAAUGCGUAGAUAUAGGAAGGAACAUCAGUGGCGAAGGCGACUACCUGGACUGAUACUGACACUGAAGUGCGAAAGCGUGGGGAGCAAACAGG
rnacentral:rRNA from 1 species